UUGAGCUGUAUGUCGUGAAAGUGACAUGUACAGUUCUUAGGCGAGAAGGAGGGAGUAAUUCCUCCGACUUAGCCGAC
rnacentral:ncRNA from 1 species